GUUCAGAUGAUAUCAAAUUAAGGAAAAUAGUAAAAUAAAAAUAACCAGUUUUUGCACUUUUGAGCACAGGAGUGACUUCCAUUGACAGUGAUGGGAUUCGCAUGCUAGUAGAACUCCACAAACAUGUAGAAAGAAGAGGCAUCAAGGUAUAGUAAGGAAUCAAAUUAAAGAAUAUAGAAUCAUGUUGUCUGAUACCAAAUAUGACUGGAAUGCAUGCCCUCUACAAUCUGGACUUGAGCAACAACUCAUUU